UCGGAGAAUUUGAAGAAGCAGAAGGAAGUAACAGCGAGGUUCGGUCGAAUCAAGGAUAAGUCUCUCAUUCACGUUUGUGGAGUAACAUUUUUUGUUUUUUAAAGUGAGGCCUAGUGAAAUGGGAGAUCCAGCCAUGCACAGAGACUGUCCUCUUGACUGUAAAGUCUACGUGGGGAAUUUGGGAAACAAUGGGAACAAGUCAGAACUGGAGAGGGCUUUUGGAUACUAUGGUCCCCUUCGCAGCGUCUGGGUGGCCAGGAAUCCCCCUGGUUUCGCUUUUGUCGAGUUUGAGGAUCCUCGGGAUGCAACAGAUGCUGUGAGAGAGCUCGAUGGAAGAACACUGUGUGGAUGCCGAGUAAGGGUGGAGCUGUCUAACGGGGAGAAGCGCUCCCGGAACAGGGGUCCACCUCCGUCAUGGAGUCGACGUCCACGAGAUGACUAUCGGCGCCGUAGCCCACCGCCAAGGCGCAGAGUCACCACCAUGCCUCUUCUCACCACCCUCUGAGUCAGUCAACUAGUCCUCUUUCAGCAUCAUGUGACCGUUGACCAGCGUGCCCAAAUCAGCUUGGCUGGUGUCGUGUCACAUGACCCAGGCAUGGCCAGUCGUCAGGUCGCACCAGCCCUAUGGUUCCUGAGCAUGCUGUUCUCAGCCUCCUCCUCCAACCUUAAGCCAAUCGGCAGCGGCCCACCUCACAUUCCCGACCAAUCAGCGUUUUACGUUCCCAAAUGUCUACACUACAAACCACCAGCAACAGCCUUCGGCUAUGCAAUAAAAGCAGGAAAAAUCCACUGCCAGCCCCCCUCCGCAAGCCAACUAAUCACCUCGCAGCAUCUGGCCAGUCCUAUUCAGCCAAUUCUGCCUACCCGGCCGACUGUCUGCCUCCCCUUCGUCAUUUCUAGCUUGUUGAAAACCAAAAGACUAGUCCCCUCGUAGGAGGAGCUUCAGCCGCAGUCGAAGCAG